UUUCCGUAGGUGAACCUGCGGAAGGAUCAUUACCGAGUUAGGGUGUCGCCUCGGCGCGCCCGACCUCCCAACCCUUUGUGAAUCGUACUCGUUGCUUCGGGGGCGACCCUGCCGUCCGCGGCUGAGCGCCCCGGGGUCAAUCAAACACUGCAUUCUCUGCGUCGGAGUAUUAGUAAAUCUAAUCAAAACUUUCAACAACGGAUCUCUUGGUUCUGGCAUCGAUGAAGAACGCAGC
rnacentral:misc_RNA from 1 species